UCAGUCCAUCUGCGAGAGGUGGAUUCACGAUUCGGAAGCUCGAGGUGCUUUUGUUGUAGUAUUAGGGAUUUUGGCACGUUUCAACGCCAGUCUCGCUUUUCUCAGAACUGCGGGCUCUUUUCAAUUUCUAAGUUCAACGUGAUGGAGAGAGUCGAGUUAAGCCGACCCCUGCUUCACCCCUUCCAGUCGUCCGCAAAUAAUAUCUCCCGUAGAUUCUACUCAGCAGCAGCAAUAAGUCGCACUUUCGAGGCGACGACGACGCUCGUUGUCACCUCUGUAUCAACGCCGAGAAAACUUUGGGAGACGUACUUGCGACUUGGAACGAAAUCUUGUUUGCUAUCAAAAUAGUGCCGCCCGUCGUGGCUUCAAAGUGAUGAAUGCUCAAACCUGAUGAAAUCACGUUGCCUUUCCAUCCCUAGGACAUCGUUUUAUUCGCAUCAUCCUGCUCCUAAUCGGGGUCAUAUGGCUUCUCCACCGGCUCACAGAGGUCCAGUUUUCUACGACAGCUGGCAAAAUCUAAUAACUUUACACAUUUCUAGUUGGUCUUUGUUUACCAAACAUUCAUCUGCAAUAUUAGAGAG